GCCCUAUACCCGUUAAGGCAUCAUGGCCUGUACCCGAAACCGACACAGGUGGGGUGGUAGAGAAUACCGAGGGGCGCGAGGUAACUCUCUCUAAGGAACUCGGCAAAAUGGCCCCGUAACUUCGGGAGAAGGGGUGCCAGCGAGAGCUGGUCGCAGUGAAGAGGCCCAGGCGACUGUUUACCAAAAACACAGGUCUCCGCUAAGUCGCAAGACGAUGUAUGGGGGCUGACGCCUGCCCAGUGCCGGAAGGUUAAGGAAGCUGGUCAGCGCAAGCGAAGCUGGCGACUGAAGCCCCGGUGAACGGCGGCCGUAACAAUAACGGUCCUAAGGUAGCGAAAUUCCUUGUCGGGUAAGUUCCGACCCGCACGAAAGGCAUAACGAUCUGGGCGCUGUCUCGGAGAGAGGCUCGGCGAAAUAGAAUUGUCUGUGAAGAUGCGGACUACGUGCACCCGGACAGAAAGACCCUAUGAAGCUUUACUGUAGCUUGGUAUUGUGCUCGGGCUCGGAAUGCGCAGGAUAGGUGGGAGGCUUGGAUCCAUUGCUUGCGGGUGAUGGUGAGCCACUGGUGAGAUACCACUCUUUUCGAGCUUAAGUUCUAACCCUUACCCGUUAUCCGGGGAGGGGACAGUAUCAGGUGGGCAGUUUGACUGGGGCGGUCGCCUCCUAAAAGGUAACGGAGGCGCGCAAAGGCUCCCUCAGGCUGGUUGGAAAUCAGCCGACGAGUGCAAAGGCAGAAGGGAGCUUGACUGUGAGACCUACAAGUCGAACAGGGACGAAAGUCGGCCUUAGUGAUCCGACGGUUCUGCGUGGAAGGGCCGUCGCUCAACGGAUAAAAGUUACUCUAGGAUAACAGGCUGAUCUCCCCCAAGAGUUCACAUCGACGGGGAGGUUUGGCACCUCGAUGUCGGCUCAUCGCAACCUGGGGCUGAAGUCGGUCCCAAGGGUUGGGCUGUUCGCCCAUUAAAGCGGUACGCGAGCUGGGUUCAGAACGUCGUGAGACAGUUCGGUCCAUAUCCGGUGCACGCGCAGGAAUAUUGAGAGGAUUUCUCCCUAGUACGAGAGGACCGGGAGGAACGCACCUCUGGUGUGCCAGUUAUCGUGCCAACGGUAAACGCUGGGUAGCCAUGUGCGGAGAGGAUAACCGCUGAAAGCAUCUAAGUGGGAAGCCCACCUCAAGAUGAGUAUUCCCAUGGCAUAAGCCAGUAAGGUCACGGGAAGAUUACCCGUUGAUAGGCUCUACGUGGAAGCGCAGUAAUGUGUGAAGCGGAGGGGUACUAAUAGACCGAGGGCUUGACC
rnacentral:rRNA from 1 species